rnacentral:lncRNA from 1 species
AUGGACCGGCAGAAGCCACGCCGGCGCCAGGACUCCCAGCUGCGGGCACACCUGGGCGCCACGGCCGGCGCGGCCCCUCCUCGCCCUGCCCGCGUCCUGCUCGGGGUCCCCGCGGGCACCGGGCGCGCACGCAGCUUUGGCCGAGGCAGCCGAGGGCGGCGAGAAAGUUCCUCCGCCUCGACGUCGGCGCCCGGGCCCCGCCGCCCCGCAGCCUGCAGGCCGGGCGCAAGGUCGCGGCGCGGAGCCCCGGGACCGUCCCCGGCGCAGGGGCAGAGCCCGGCGCGCCCCCCGCCCCCGGGCGCCCGUCUCGGCCGCGGGGCGCGCAGCCCGUACUCACCGCCCCUCGCUCACGAUCCCAGGUGGCGGCCGCGGAGGGCGGCGCGGCCCGAGCCGGAGCCGGGUGUCGGCGGGGCGGGGAGUCGGCGGAGGGAGGGCGGCGGCGGCGGCGGCGAGGAGGGUCCGGGAGCAACGAGGCGGUGGCGGCUGCAGACGCCGAGCAGCCCGUCACCCCGCGGCGCGAGCUGGGCGGCCGCGGCGGCGGGGGCUUUAUCACCGCCCGCCCGCCCCCGCCCCUUCCUGCCGCCCCCGCCCCCGGCCCGCCCGGCCCCGCCUUCCCGCCGCCUCCUUUGUGUGCCAGCCGGCCGCAGCGUCCCCGCGCCGGCGCUCCGGGACGCCCCGAGUCCCGUUGCAGCCUCGCGGGGGCCGCCCCAAAGGGGUCCCCGUCGUGGGGCUGCGUCCAGAAAGCGCCGGGAGAAGCGGCGACCCCGAGAACGUGCAUGGCUGGUGUUGGCCAGCCUUCCUGAUGCCAGCAAGGGGAUACAGACGCAACCUCCCAAGCUUUCCAUGAUGUUCAAGUGACCAGGCGCUUCGACACCCAUCAUUAGAGGGCUGCCCCAAAGAAGCUGUGUCCUGUGUUGGUUGGUGGCCAUGAGCAGCGGUCCUUGCAGUGUUUGACCCACUUUGAAAUGUGUUUCUCAUAGAUGUGCACUUUCAAUCAGCGUUUCCCUCAUCUCGUCUCAGUCUUAUUUGAGAAAUGCAAACUGUUUAAUGCUCCUACCUGCCUCUUUCUGUGCCUCUUCCCAUUCACAGCAGAAUGUCAUUUUGUCCUUCAAUUGUGUGGCUUGCCUUAAUUGUCUGAUAGAGCUUCAAAUUGUUUAUUCCUUCAAAAAAUUUUAAAAAGUGACCUGGAGUUUUGCCAGCUCCAGCCAGUCUCUGAGUUUGGCUUUGUGUCCAUAAGCUGCAGUUGGGAGAAACGCAAGAAAUGCCCAAACAGAAUAAAACAAAUGAUCUAUUUAGUCUCGUUUCCUCU